CUCAAAAAAAUAAAAAUAAAAAUAAAUAAACAAAUAUCACCCUAGCCAUCCCCAAACCAAAAUAUAAAUGGCAUCUGGAGGAUUUGCUACCAAUGAUGAUCAAUGUCACCAUUAUUCCAGAGCACAAGUAAAAUCAGAAUUGACUACAUUGUCCUCCCAUGGAUAAUGCCAAUGCAUAUGGAGUAGCUGUCUGUGGCAUGCGAGCUCCUAAGGCAGGUUCAGUUACAGAAACAAAGAAAGUAACCUAGUUAGGCAUCUCCUCAAGCAACCAAGUUAGCAGAACACUACAAAUUGAUGGGCCAGUAAGGCUAGCAGGUACCAGGCUUCAGGAUAAAAGUAAAGGGCACAGCCCUAGAACAGAUAAGAGAUGGGAAAAACUCCUCACCUCUGGACAGCAUCUUUCUUGGGAUCUUUUCUUUGUUUUUGUCCUUGUCUUCCUUUUCAGAGACAUCUUUUGUGGACUUUUCUUCCUCCUUGUCAGAAGGGCAACUGAUGUGCAAUUGAAUUAUAUCCUUAAGAGGAAAAAGGAUAAUCAAAGGGGGAAAAGGAUUUUAACUUUCUUGCAGCUCCCUUGGAAUCUCAAAGAAGGGUUCCCCUCCUCCCUGGCACAGAUCUGUCAGCACUGCCACUGCCACUGGAACCCGCAGCUGGGAGGAGAGACCAUGCCCUGUUUUAGUACAACAGCUUUGUUCUGAAGUACCUUCUACCCUGAUUUUCAAGUCUGAUGUUGCUGUGAUUGCUGUACUACAUUUUACCAAAAAACUGCCAAGCGCAAAAGCCACACUUACUCCUGCAAAUGACCUACCUGGGUUUCUAAUGGCCCAUCAGCAAAUGGGGUGGAGGACUCCUCACACACUGCCAGGCUGCGCACCAACUUUAGCUUGGAAUUAGACUGAAAAAAACAAUUUUCAGUUUUUUUUUUUUAUAUAUAUCUUAUAUCUUUCUUCCCUUGGUGAAUAUUCAGAAAGCUUUUGGCUGAA